rnacentral:misc_RNA from 1 species
GAAAUGCGAUAAGUAAUGUGAAUUGCAGAAUUCCGUGAAUCAUCGAAUCUUUGAACGCACAUUGCGCCCUCUGGCAUUCCGGGGGACAUGCCUGUCCGAGCGUCAUUACGCACCCUCAAGCCCGGCUUGUGUGAUGGGCCCCGGCGUCUCGUUCGCGAGACGGGCCCGAAAGGCAGCGGCGGCGUCGACCCGAUGAGCCCGAGCGUAUGGGGACUUCUGUCACACGUUCGCGGUGCGGACCGGCGCCUGCUUUGACUUUUCUGAUUAUCCAGGUUGACCUCGGAUCAGGUAGGGAUACCCGCUGAACUUAAGC